GGAGUGUUAGCUCAGCGGUAGAGCAAUCGCCUGCAGAACUAUGGUUGAAAUAUUGCCGUGGGAAGCCAGCGAUAGGUCUCCGGUUCAAUCCCGGAACGCUCCU